CAGGGAUAUUUUCCAGAUUCAAUGCACACAGUCCGAAAUUCUCAUGCACUCAAUCAUUUAAUAAUGUUAUCAAAGCAGAGCAGAAGCCUUCUGAAGUUCCCCGAAAAGAAAAGUUUUCUCUCUUUAAGAGGAUAUUUAGAAGAAAGAAGAAUGAUGUAAUGAAAAUUCAUGACAAAU